GGGAGGGGUGCAAGCGUUGUUCGGAAUUAUUGGGCGUAAAGAGCGUGUAGGCGGUUCGGUAAGUCAGAUGUGAAAGCCCUGGGCUCAACCCAGGAAGUGCAUUUGAAACUACCCGGACUUGAGUACGGGAGAGGAGGGGGGAAUUCCCGGUGUAGAGGUGAAAUUCGUAGAUAUCGGGGGGAAUACCAGUGGCGAAGGCGCCCCUCUGGACCGAUACUGACGCUGAGACGCGAAAGCGUGGGGAGCAAACAGGAUUAGAUACCCUGGUAGUCCACGCCGUAAACGAUGAGCACUAGGUGUAGCGGGUAUUGACCCCUGCUGUGCCGUAGCUAACGCAUUAAGUGCUCCGCCUGGGGACUACGGUCGCAAGACUA
rnacentral:rRNA from 1 species